UACGUAGGGGGCAAGCGUUGUCCGGAUUUAUUGGGCGUAAAGAGCGUGUAGGCGGUUUGGUAGGUCCGCUGUGAAAACUCGAGGCUCAACCUCGAGACGCCGGUGGAAACCAUCAGACUAGAGUCCGGAAGAGGAGAGUGGAAUUCCUGGUGUAGCGGUGAAAUGCGCAGAUAUCAGGAAGAACACCCGUGGCUAAGGCGGCCCUCUAGUACGGUACUGACGCUGAGACGCGAAAGCGUGGGGAGCGAACAGG
rnacentral:rRNA from 1 species